UUGAAUGUACAUCAGGAUUAAUGGAAAUGAGUUGAUAUCGUUAUUCCACAGGCAAUGAAUAAUAAGCAGUUUGUUGGUGAUUUACGUUCCUCUAAAUAUGAGACAGACAGAAAAUUAUUGUGUGCCUCACAGUCUGCCCCCCGGCAUUGCUGUCAUAUCUGAAGCACAUAAUUAUCCAUAUGUCUUCUUUUAGAUUAAGCCUUAAUUUGUACAGUCAAUGGCAAUUUGGUUUUGUCCAUAGUUCACUAAGCUGAUUUUCCGUGAUGUCCCAAUAAAAUGUAGCCCAAAUUAAAAAAAAAAUCAAAAUACUGUACAUAACUAAUGAAAUAAUUUAUGGAAUUUAUAACUUUUUCUAAACAAUCAACUAAGCAAAAUUAUAUCUCUACCGAUAUGCCUCUAAGAUUUAUAUAAAAGUAUUGUAUAAAAUGCAGAUUGAAAUCUCUAGUCAUUCAGUCCUUCCCUCACCAUGUAUUUAAUAACUUUUAGAAGAAUGUAUUAUUUUUAAAAGUGAAUCUGAUGGUAAGAAGUCAGAGUUUCAAAAUGACCCUGCUCUCCAGAGCAUUCAUUUAGCAGUAAUUGACCCAUGUGUGUCCCCACAGGAACUCCCUUCAGGACAUUGCUCAUGUAGUAAGUGCUUGGUUGUGUUUCAUGGAGGGAAUAGAACAGAGAUGGUGAUUAUUAUAGUAAAAAAAAAGAAACAGCAAAGUAAAGUGAUCAGAAGGUUGGGUUCUGUGUUUUAAAGCAUGAGUUUGAAUCCUGACUUCCUCAUCUGUGAACACAGCAACCGUCAUAUCUAUGUCAGGAAUGAUAAGGCUUAUUAGAUUCAUAGUUACCAAAAGUUGUUUGAUAACUGUGUAAGAAAAGUGGUCAACAGAAUUUUAUUACUGCAUUGUAAUUGGCAGUUAGCUUUCCCUGAUCAUGAUAGGCUGGGAGCAAACAAAAACUUUCAACACUCUGUUGUUUCCUAGCUUGUUAGUAACCUGGCUGCACCAAAGUGCUUGACUGUUGAAGAACAAGAGUUCUCUCCCUAAGCUCUGUUCCUUGGCAGUCAGUACCAUUACUUAUGCAUAGAAGACAUUGAUAAAUGUGAAUUGCUCAGGAAAAUUUCUAAAAUGCACAUAUAUGUAUGUUUUAAAGAUUUGUUUUAUCUUUGUAUGUAUUUGUGUGUGUGUGUGCCUGUGCACACAUGUGCAUGCUUGUACACAUGUCUGCCUUCCUGCCUGCCUGCUUGCCUGCCUGUCUGUCUGUCUGUCUUAGGGGUAUCUGCAUAUCAUUGCAGAUGCCUCAGAAGGCCAGAAGAGGGCAUCAGAUCCCCUCAAAGUGGAAGUCCCAGGCAGCUGUGAGCUGCCCAGUAAUGUAUAUGUUGGGAAAAGAACUUCACUCUUCUGAAAGGACAGAUUGUACUCUUAACCACUGAGCCAUCUCCCCAGCCCCUCUAAAAUGUAUUUUAAAGUAAAUAUACCUUUAAUAAGUUGCAGAUUUAAUGCAUGGCAUGCUUUGUGAAUAUCAUUUAGAAGCCACGGACAAGUUUUAAAAAUGAAGUCACUUAUAAUCCUGUUAUCUAGCAAUCACCAUUCACAUUUUAUUAUAUGUAUAUUUUUAUUAUUUUGUGCAUGCAUAUGUUUUUCAUAUAUUUAAAUAAUAAAUUGUUCUGCAAACUUUUGGUAGUCUUCUUUUUUAAUAAAAUAAUACACACAGUUAAUACCUCUUCACGCAAUUCCUUUUAUUCUGAAACAUCAUUUAAAAUAAUAUAAUAUAUACUGAGCAGUUCCAAUUUGGAAAUUCAAGAUGUCCCAAACAUAACAUUUUUUGAAUGUAGCCAUGAUACUCAAACCUUUACUUUUUUUUUUUUUUUUUUUUGAGCAGUUCAGAAAUACUUCUUGUGUCAGGUAUUUAUAAUAAGGGUAACCCACCUGUAUAAUAUAUCUUAUAUUAUUCUUGAAUAGCUAGGCUACAUCCUGAUUAAUUUUUCUACCUCAAAAGGACUGCUGUGGAUUUUGGCAUGCUCUGGCUGCCCUGACCCCUUACCUUUCCCAGUGUGCUUUCUUUGCUUACCACAGUUGCUACUCCUCUGUAACAUCCACUUAUGAAAGUGGAUUAAUAGGCUUAUUAAUAGGCUUAUAGGUAUAUCUACUUUUUUAUUGAGUUCCUUCUUAGACUCCUAAUUCUUGAAAACACAGGUCCUAUUUUUACCACUGUGACUUUAGCUUCCACAUCUGUUUGGUUCAGAAACAGCGCUCUGUGUACUGGGUGGCCAAGUCAAAGGUAUUUGCCACUCAUAGUAUACAGCUAAGGGUACUCACAAUACUUAUAUUUUAAUUAGUUGUCUGGAACUAGACACACCAAGGACAGGGCCCUGGAGGAAGGGUACAGUACUUGGCUGUGACAGAAAACAUUGAAGGGUCAACGGGGACACUAGCUGAAGGACAGGAAAAGAUAAUCUGGGAAAAGGAAGAGUUGCAGCUUCCAGUUGUUUCCCUUCACUUUUUCCCCCCAGGGCUUCAUUUCUUCUUAGUGAACUUUAGAAUCAAAUUCUUCCUUGGAAGCGAUGGGAAGAAACACAGAACCUCCGUUUGUUUAUAAGGCGAUUAAGCACUGGGUGUGUGUUCUCUUAUCUGCGACUUCCGGAUUAUAUUCAAGAAUCCAGUCCCAAGCUUGUGACCUGUUUAAAGGAAUUUGUGUCUGGCCUGCAGUAGCAGGGAAGGUAAAAAAGCUAAAAUUUAUGGAGUGCCAGUUGUGUGUGGAGGACCUUUCUGCACUGUUGGCAUCUCCCUAGAAAGCAGAGGAAGCAAGAAAAAGUCAAGAAAAGAACAGCUGAUUGCCACUGAGACCCCUCCCUCCAGCCUGAAUGUUCAGGAAAAGGAAUUUUCUGAUAAACAAAGAAAUGAACUUCAGUUACACAAAUUGUAGAUCAUGCUUAACAGGACGUCAGUUUCUACGAUUGCUUAGGUUGUUUUGCAUAAGUCUGACUUGAAGAUUAAUUUAGAAU
rnacentral:lncRNA from 1 species